UGCCUCCGCAUGUUUCCCCCGCCCCAAGCACCCCUGCAACCAAUGGGAUGCUGCGGGGGGCAGUGCCUGGGGGCAGAAGCACACGGAGGCCCCCUGGCCCGCCCUGCCUUGGAGCCCCAGACUAAAUCCUUUUAAUGCUGCCCUUUCUGAAGUCCAACUCCCAAAACAAACAAGUCCACUCCAGUGGCUGGAUGCUGAUUGGGGAAGAUCAUUCUGUCUGACCCCUGAAGAAGAAACACUUCAAAAGGUAGAUCAGAUGGGUGUUGCUAUGAAAGCAAAAGGUUUCUUCGUAAAUACAUUUGUGCUGCAUGAAGAAAGAAAGACAGCCUUGAAGUAUUUCCAAUGGAGUUUUCUGAUGAUCUGGAACCGCUACUGUGGGUGAAUUCACAGAUGAGCGCUGUGGCCUAUACACCACUGAAGUCCCACUUGAGCCCUAACAUGACAUAUACCUUUUGCUGGCUCGCUGCGGAGGAGUGAAGUUCACCUUGUGUCCUUACAUAACCCAUUUUUGACACACUAUAUUUGUAUUUGCAAAUUGUCCAUGAACUGUGGCCAUGUUUGUACAACAAAGAGCAACAAGGAUUUGUGGACUCUGCAAAGGGUCCAUGUAACAAAACCAGAUUAUAUUCUUUAUUCUUAGCUAAUUCA